GCAAACACGUUUUGGGAUUUUACUAGAUGUUACGGGGAACUGUUACGUUAAAGAACUCAAUUACCCAGCAGUCUUUGUUGACGGACAUGCGCAGAGUAGAGGGCGGCUCGUAGUGUCGCGUGAGUUAAUGCUGUUAUCGCGAGAGGUCGCCAUUGGAGCCUCUGCGUUGAACAGCUGCAGGUCCAGUUGUAUGCAGUCCGUAUUUUAUAUUUUAAACUGCUUACUACACACCUAUGCUUACACCCAAACGGACUAAACCAAGUGGAGAUGCUUUGGACGAUGGCCCGUGCAAAGUCAUGCCACCAGUCUGAGGACAUCACUGGGAAUGGCACAUGGGACACGUGGCUUUCAACUCCAGCGAGCACACGGCACAGGUUGGCGUCACCGUGGGCAAUCAUGGCAAAGUUGACUGGACCACAGCGGAAAAUGAUCCUUCCAGAGAAGAAGUUAUUUACUUCUACAACGAAUGGAAGAGUUACAACUUCCAGAUGACAGCUCUCCGCUCAUCCUUCUGGGCAACUUGAACAUCCGACAGAACUUAUGUGACCUACUGCGUUUAUUUUCUCCUUUAGCUCUCAUUUAAGUAUUAAAAUUCGCUGUAUUUUUGCAAGAGAGGCACCAAUCCUAUUUGAGUGACGUUUCGAAUGUGAAAUUGUAUUGGACCAUAUAGGUCAUCUGCAGAGCGUUGGCCCCUGGCGCAGUAAACCAGGGUUUGAUUCUUGGCAUGCACAAGACUCCUCAUGUGACUUAAAAUGAAUCCAGAAUGCAAUAUUUGUUCAGUAUGCAAGGGCAGUGAUUUAUUUAGUCAUGUUUGGUCAUGUUUUGGUUUUUUUACAUGACAAUAUGGUUUGGUACAUGCUGAGUUAAUGAAUAUACAUUCUAAAGUGCAAUGUCCAUAUGUGAAUAAGAGUUGUAUACGUUUAUCAUAGUCAACAUGGUGUGGAAAUAUCCCUUAUGUAGUUGGUCAAUGGGAACUAUAGUAGGCAGUAAUAACAGCUAAGGUAAUUACAGGUGGAUAUUUCUGGGAAUUAACCUUAAAUGAGACUGCAUUUAUGAUAUCUAAGAUAUACAGGACAAGAAAAAUGCACUGGAUGUGUAUAUGUGUUGAAUCAAUUAUACAGACGCAAACUGGAGAACGAGACAAGUGUUGCUGUGAUACUUAUUGUGGUCAUCGUGCCCGAGACCUGUAACAAUUACUCC